UUACACAUGCAAGUCGAACGGUAACAGGUCUUCGGAUGCUGACGAGUGGCGAACGGGUGAGUAAUACAUCGGAACGUGCCUAGUAGUGGGGGAUAACUACUCGAAAGAGUAGCUAAUACCGCAUGAGAUCUACGGAUGAAAGCAGGGGACCUUCGGGCCUUGUGCUACUAGAGCGGCUGAUGGCAGAUUAGGUAGUUGGUGGGGUAAAGGCUUACCAAGCCUGCGAUCUGUAGCUGGUCUGAGAGGACGACCAGCCACACUGGGACUGAGACACGGCCCAGACUCCUACGGGAGGCAGCAGUGGGGAAUUUUGGACAAUGGGCGAAAGCCUGAUCCAGCAAUGCCGCGUGCAGGAUGAAGGCCCUCGGGUUGUAAACUGCUUUUGUACGGAACGAAAAGCCUGGGGCUAAUAUCCCCGGGUCAUGACGGUACCGUAAGAAUAAGCACCGGCUAACUACGUGCCAGCAGCCGCGGUAAUACGUAGGGUGCAAGCGUUAAUCGGAAUUACUGGGCGUAAAGCGUGCGCAGGCGGUUUUGUAAGACAGUGGUGAAAUCCCCGGGCUCAACCUGGGAACUGCCUUGUGACUGCAAGGCUAGAGUGCGGCAG
rnacentral:rRNA from 1 species